rnacentral:rRNA from 1 species
UUGCAAAAUUCAGUGAAUCAUCGAAUCUUCGAACGCACCUUGCGCCCUUUGGCUAUUCCGAAGGGCAUGCCUGUUUGAGUAUCUAU